rnacentral:lncRNA from 1 species
UUUACUUUUGUUAUUAAUAGCUUUGAUAUUUCAUGGUUCAGUUGGUUUAUGUUAUUCGAAUUCAUGUGGUUUUAAAUGAACUAUAGAACUUGUGGAUUUUGUGAAAAGGAAAAAUGGUUUUUUACCCCUCGUGGUAGCGUUUUAAAAAGAAAAGGUUUCCGUGUGGGAAACAGCUUUCAAAAGAGUUUUUCUUGUGGUUUUUAUGUUUAAAUAUUGAAUGGUAAAUAUCUGGUGAAUGGUGAAUGAAUGUUGAGAAUUGUCUAUUCAUAUAUUGUGGUUGUAUCCUGAUUAUACUCUGUUUGGACAUCUUGUACUUGCGCGACGCCGUGCAAAUACAGGGGAUACUCUGUCCGUGUGAACAGUGGAUUUCCUGUAUUUGUGGCGGAUCUGGCAUACCCUGGGGUCAGGUUUUCAAAAAAAAAAAAAAAAAUCUAGUUACUUCCGCUGUACUUUCAAUCUAACAGGGACCCCGGGGCGUGACAUUAUCUCUAUAUAAGGAUGUAAAUUUAAAUAAUUAUUGUACUUGUGAAUUUUAUUAUUGUAUUUUAAUCUCUAUUCUACAUCAGAUAUAGUUGUACUUCACAUGCAAAAAAGCUUACAAAUAUAUUAAUUGAUGAGUAUAGUAAGCUAUACAUAGCAAAUAUUCAUAAUUAUUUGACUAAAUCUUUCAAAAUAACAAAAUAAGAGCUUAUUGGAAUAAAAAAAACUAAAAUAAAUCCGUGCCAAAGAGUGCCAGUAGGAGAUCAUGUGCAUCUAUCAGUACGCAAGUGUAUAACGUGUCGGCAUGGAAGCGUGCCUGUGUCGUACCAUGCCAGGCAAACAAAGGCACGCUCCCGUGCCACAGCACUUUAAACCUUGGUCAUGAGAUAAAAUGGUCAAGAGUUGUCUUUACGUGCCAUGUGUAGAAUUUUCUUUUUUUACAAUACAAAUUUGAUUGAAAUAAAUUUAAUCAAGUCAAAAGCACUUAGCUGAAUUGUAAUAACCCGACCCGCCAGCAAUAAUAACUCGUUAGGCCAAAACCACCGGCCCAAAAUGCUUAUGCCCAGUUAUUAUUACUAGGGUGGAGUUCUCUUAUAUGCCCAAUGAUAAUCCUAUUCCCAUCCGAUGUGGGACUAUUGGGGUGUCACAAAUUUCCCCUAUUUAGGCCCUGACAUCCUUGUCAGUCCUAAACACACAACCCAAGAUCAUCAGAGAUAUGAGACUUGUCUCACUAGCCUUGUCAUUCUGAUCCUGACUUAGCUUGUCAUUUACCGAACCUGUCUUAAUCUGUCAUUCCGACCCUAACUCAGCCAAGACUCAUCUCACAUUUUCGGCUGGUGAACCGGCUCUAAUACCAAAUGUAACGACCCGAUCAGCCAGCAAUAAUAACUCGUUGGACCAAAACCACCAGCCCAAAAUACUUCAGCCCAAUUAUUAUUAUUAGGGCGGAGUUCUAUUAUAUACCCAAUAACAACCCCAUUCCCAUCCGAACUACUUGAAAAUAUCAUGUUAAGGUCGCAUGGUGAGCAAAAGUUGAUGUAGAGGAAUCUACAUGAGAGAAGAAACUUCUUAGUAGUUAAACCUAAAUGUUAACAAUUACUAGUAUUCUUGCCAAUCUCCUGAAGAGGAUUAGGAAUAAUAAUUAUAAUAUUUUUGUCUAAAUAAAUUUCAAGGCUCGCACUCCACCUUAUACCCAUUUCCAUAAUCCUUCACCCAAAUCAGAUGUUUCGGAAGCACACUACUUCGAUUCCAACUAAAGGAUUACGAAGUGGAGAUCAUGUAGUAAACAACUAUCUUAGAAAAGGAGUUAAUACUAAUGAAUGGACAAUACAAUAGAAAGAUGCAAAUUCUAGAGAUGACCUUCAUCUCCUGUACAAAUUUUAAAUUGCGAGAUGAGAACAUAAGCAUAACUUUGAAACUGCUUUAACUCUUUUUAGCCAAUCAACAACAUCCAUUGUAUAAAGGUCUUUGUUUUCUCACCAUCCUUAACUCUUUUUUAAAUUAGUACAUAAAGUUAUACGUGGUAUCAAAAAACAUUAUAACCAAAGAAGCACAUUACAAUCUGAAUUUCAUGUCAAAUGUUUAAUGAUCUUAGUCUAUAUGACUCGUCCCCUAAUCAUUUAAGCCCUCAAUUUCAUUUUGUUACAGUUUGUUAUUCAGUUACCUAUAAACAACUCUUCCACAUGCUGUUCUUUUGCAGCAUGAUGAAUGCUGGUUUUUUUUGGAUAAAACUUGACCUCUCUGCAUGAUGAAUGCUAGUUUUCUGUCUGUCCUGGACUCAGUCAUAUUCUUUAGUAUUCAGUUCCUAAUAUGCUUUGUAGACCACUCUACAUAUAACAAACAUCAUGUUCAUGAAAGCUAAUGGUUUAACUUGCAUACGACCUCAACCUGCUAUUUCAACUUGAAGAUAUGAUUUGCUCAUUAAAAUAAAAUAGUUAAUGCCUGAAAGAUAGAAAUCAACAAAAGCCACCAAUGCAUUAUGCAGGCACAGACAAAUUCAUGUAUCAUAUUGUUAACUGGCAUGUGAUAUUCGCUGCUCAACUUGUAAUACUUGUACCCAAAUAAUUUAAAUUCGAAAUUAUAAUAUGUCAGCAUAAUUGGGUAUUGAGACGAACCCAGUAAUAUAAGUUUCGAUUUAUUUGUGCCAUUGGAUAAAGCCAAUUCGAUUGGAUUUAAUUUGGGUUAAUUGAACUCCAAUUUUAAUUAGGCUAAGAUUAAGAUUACCCUAAAAGUUUUACCUAUAAAUAUGUGUCUGGGGAUGUCAAACAGCUGGCUGUUGUGGUCGGCUUCUCUGCCUGCACUUGAAAGAUCGACGGCGAUUAGGAACAAAUCCGGCCAUUGCGAGAUGAGAACGGGAGAGGUGAGUUUCUAUUAAAUUUCUUUCCUUCCUUCUUUAUCUCGUCUUCUUCCUACUUUCUUUUCCCCAUCUUCUCUCAUAGUUGUCGUACAUGGCGGAGCCACAGCUGCCGCCGCCACACCUACAGCCAUUGCUGCCGUCGCCAUAGAGGCCGUCAGCCACCUAUCAUGCGCCGGGCAAAUUUCGUUUGGGUGGCGGACAUGAUAGUGCGAAGUGGAUUUGACAGGAGAUUUGAUUGGAGAAGAGGAGAAGAGGAGGAAAAGAUGAACCCGGUUAGAUCUGGCUCGACUUGAUCCAUGAUGGACCAUAAUGAAAUUUUGUAUGAGUUAGCACACCUUUGGGUUAAAUCUAUCCAAAUGAUUUCUUAGAUGCAAUUAUUUAUUAUCUAGUGUAUUUUAGUCCUAUUUUGUAUGUGAAAAUAGACCAAAAUAGACUUGGUGGAUGCUGCUGGUGUUGGACCAGGUGCGACGAAUUUUCGAAGCUAUUAAUGGCUUAAUUGAACAGUCAGGGACCAAUCUGUAAAUAGCAAGUUUGGUUUCAGGACUAAUUGGUAAAGGAGGCAUAACUUUUUAUCCAUAAAGCGCAAUUGAGUGAUUCAAGCGUCAUUGGACUCGUCUCGAAAAUAUAGGUGAGAUCGUAUGGUCUAAUUGACUAGAUUUACUGUAUAUUUUUUCGCAAAAUUUUUAACUGUUAAAGGGGUUUGCUUGAAAAUUUAUUUUAUUUGGUCUUUUCGUCGUUCUAGGUGUUGGGGCUGCUAUGAAGCCACAAUCUUAGAACGUGGCGAAAUUUUGAGGCUAAUAGAGGCAAGUAAAUAGCUACUUUUCUAUAAACAGUAGAAUGUUUGGAUCCGAGUGGGUUAGAGGCACGAUUAUUAUCAGUUUUGUUUACUAGUUGCUAAUACACCCGAGUUUUACGAUUAUUUGUUGGCUGUUGUGGCUUAUUUACUCUUACACAUUAUUAUUACUUAUCAUCAAAAUAAUCUAUUGUUAUUUACGACUGUUGUGGUCGGAAAUCUUAGAGGAGAGGAAUUUUGUACACGGUUCCCAAGGAGAGACAACGCAUAAUUGUAGCUCUUGUGGUUAGAGCAAUGAAAUGGACGCACUUCAACUUAUAACUGUUGCAAUUAUAAUUUAAAAUUAUUGUUUUUUCUUGAAAGUAGAUUUCUUAUUAAGCAUCGCGCAUACUUUUGGUUGUCUACCUUCGGUUCCAAAAGUCAGGGCGUGUGAGAUAAUCGACAGGCGAGCACUAGCUAGAUAAACUUCAUUUCAUAGACAACUUAGUUUACUUUGAUUUGAGCUAGGAUUGAAUAAAAAGAUUUAUUUAU